rnacentral:sRNA from 1 species
GUGUACCGUGCUUGAGAUGUUGACAGGAGAACGAGUCUGGU